CAACCCUCAGGCCCCCAGUGCCUGGUGUUGGGGAUCGGCCCAGCCUUCUCGCAAGGCCGCCGGCCCCGAAAUCUAGUGGCGGUCUCGCUGUAGUCCUCCUCUGCGUAGUAGCACAACCUCGCAGUUGGAACGCGGCGGUGGCCAUGCCGUUAAACACCCCACUUCUGAA
rnacentral:misc_RNA from 3 species